rnacentral:rRNA from 1 species
UACGAAGGGGGCUAGCGUUGCUCGGAAUUACUGGGCGUAAAGGGCGCGUAGGCGGACAGUUUAGUCGGGGGUGAAGCCCGGGGCUCAACCUCGGAAUUGCCUUCGAUACUGGCUGUCUUGAGUACGGGAGAGGUGUGUGGAACUCCGAGUGUAGAGGUGAAAUUCGUAGAUAUUCGGAAGAACACCAGUGGCGAAGGCGACACACUGGCCCGUUACUGACGCUGAGGCGCGAAAGCGUGGGGAGCGAACAGG